rnacentral:lncRNA from 1 species
CGACUGGCGAGGAAGCAACAUAAUCUGCUGCGCGCUUGGCGAGAUAUCCAUUCCGCACUUUUAAACAGCAGGUGAACGGCGCUGAAUAGACAAGUGACCGGUGCGGAGGUGCUGUGAACAAACAGCGGAAGGGAAUGACAACACGCAAGGUAUCCUGGGUAACUCAGCGCCAGAAAGAUAGAACUUCCGCUUCCGCCUUGCUCCGGCGGCGCAGGUUGUGUUCCACUCGCGGAUUUGGAGGCGUUGCUCUGCGCCAGAGUCGAGUGCUCGCUCGCGGAGUCCGUUGG